rnacentral:misc_RNA from 1 species
GGCGAAUGCAAUCCCGGGAGCGCACCAGACGUCAGAUGUUGCAGCGGCGGGGCGGCGGAGAUCCUUGGGCUUCUUCUUCUGCUUGACUCGGCGGCGGCGCGAGCGCUUGCCUGGCCAGUCGGCGGAGGAUCGGACGGCUGCGGCGGCAGGGGCGAAGACCUGGGAGGAGGAGGCGGAGGCGCAACCGAGGCCGCGGAGGGCGGCGAAGGGCUUCUUCUUGGCGGACGGGGGAUCGGGGAUGAAGGGGUUGCGGUCGGAGGGGGUAAGGCGGUUUUUGAGGAGGAGGAGGCGGCGGAUUGUGCUGGUGGCGGCGUUUGGGGCUGCCUCCGUCUCCGCCGCGGUCGCCAUUGAAGUGAGGGGGAUGGGGCUCUG